rnacentral:tRNA from 1 species
ACCGUUCAUGGUUCUAUGGUGUAGUGGUUAGCACUCUGGACUUUGAAUCCAGCGACCUGGGUUCGACUCCCGGUAGGACCUU